UAGGGAAUAUUGGGCAAUGGGCGCAAGCCUGACCCAGCAACACCGCGUGAGGGAAGAAGGUUUUCGGAUUGUAAACCUCUGUCCUAUGUGACGAAGGAAGUGACGGUAGCAUAGGAGGAAGCCCCGGCUAACUACGUGCCAGCAGCCGCGGUAAUACGUAGGGGCAAGCGUUGUCCGGAAUGACUGGGCGUAAAGGGUGUGUAGGCGGUUUUACAAGUUAGAUGUGAAAUACCCAGGGCUUAACUCGGGUGCUGCAUCUAAGACUGUAAGACUUGAGUGUCGGAGAGGUAAAUGGAAUUCCUAGUGUAGCGGUGGAAUGCGUAGAUAUUAGGAGGAACACCAGUGGCGAAGGCGAUUUACUGGACGAUAACUGACGCUGAGGCACGAAAGCGUGGGGAGCAAACAGGAUUAGAUACCCUGGUAGU
rnacentral:rRNA from 1 species